CUUUUAAAUCGCGCUAGUUGUUUGUAUUGUUUUAAAAUGGUCCGACUUCAAAUUGAUUACAGCUUCAGAAGUGCAGGUUGCUUUGAGGUUGUUCGUGUACUAGAAAGGUUAGUUCGCGGGUGCCUUCUCGAGUAACCAAGAUCGGUACAUGCAGCGAGUUUUAAUAGAUACCGCACUUUGGUGUUGUUUUUGAAUAGAGAUGACUGACACAAUGGCCCCCUUCUAUCACAAAAGAAAUAAAUUAUUUUCUACAUCAUUUCCUCUUGGAAGUGAUUGGCUGAGACUGCUUAUGCCAUUUUAGCGUCCCAGUGAGCUGGAACUACCCUGGAAAUAUUGAGUGUAAGGACUGAACAAAGCCAGUUCAUCAUAACCCCCAGUCACUCAUAGCUGGUCAAUUUACAGACACCAAUGAACCAAACCCACCCAUCUAUGACAUGUGUGAAGAAAAAGGAGAACCCAGAGAAAACCUCAUGCACACGUGGGCCAGUCUAGGAUUUAAACUCACACUCCUGGAGGUGUGAGGCAGCAGAACUAAUAUUUUCUUUUCUCAUGUCAGGCUUACACUAAUUAGUUGUACUUUAAAGUUGCUAUGCUGUGACCACUUGUUAAAUUUCAGUACAGCAAACUGUAAAUAAUUUGUAUUUGGUCUUGUGAAGCAUGUAAAUAAUUAUUUCCCUGGCUUUAUUUGCGACCAAAGUGUGAAAGUAC